GUGGGGAAUAUUGGACAAUGGGCGCAAGCCUGAUCCAGCCAUGCCGCGUGAGUGAUGAAGGCCCUAGGGUUGUAAAGCUCUUUCACCGGAGAAGAUAAUGACGGUAUCCGGAGAAGAAGCCCCGGCUAACUUCGUGCCAGCAGCCGCGGUAAUACGAAGGGGGCUAGCGUUGUUCGGAAUUACUGGGCGUAAAGCGCACGUAGGCGGACAUUUAAGUCAGGGGUGAAAUCCCGGGGCUCAACCCCGGAACUGCCUUUGAUACUGGGUGUCUGGAGUAUGGAAGAGGUAAGUGGAAUUCCGAGUGUAGAGGUGAAAUUCGUAGAUAUCCGGAGGAACACCAGUGGCGAAGGCGGCUUCCUGGACAGUAACUGACGCUGAGACGCGAAAGCGUGGGGAGCAAACAGGAUUAGAAACCCCGGGUAGUCC
rnacentral:rRNA from 1 species